AGUACCGUGAGGGAAAGGUGAAAAGAACCGCGGGAGCGGAGUGAAAGAGAACCUGAAACCGUAUGUCUACAAGCAGUCGGAGCGCAAGCGACGGCGUGCCUAUUGAAGAAUGAGCCAACGAGUUACGGGCACCAGCGAGGUUAAGCAGGAAAUGCGGAGCCGGAGCGAAAGCGAGUCUAAACAGGGCGGAUAGUUGGUGUUCGUAGACCCGAAACUGUAGUGAUCUACCCAUGAUCAGGUUGAAGCGCAGGUAAAAAUGCGUGGAGGACCGAACCGGUGAGCGUUGAAAAGCUUUCGGAUGAAUCGUGGGUAGCGGUGAAAUUCCAAUCGAACGCAGAGAUAGCUGGUUCUCCUCGAAAUAGCUUUAGGGCUAGCCUCAAGCAGUAAGCAUAGGCGGUAGAGCACUGAUCGGGAUAGGGUCCGUAAAGGAUACCGAACCCUGUCAAACUACGAAUGGUUAUGCUGCAGAGCUUGGGAGUCAGACUACGAGAGAUAAGUCCCGUUGUCAAAAGGGAAACAGCCCAGACCGUCAGCUAAGGUCCCCAAUGCCAUACUAAGUGGAAAAGGAUGUGGGGUCUCAUAAACAACCAGGAUGUUGGCUCAGAAGCAGCCACCAUUUAAAGAGUGCGUAAUAGCUCACUGGUCGAGAGGCCCUGCGCCGAAGAUUCCCGGGGCUAAAGUAUGGAACCGAAGCUACGGAUGCGGUACUUGUACCGCGUGGUAGAGGAGCGUUCCCAUUGGGUUGAAGUCGUCCUGGAAGGGACGGUGGACUGGUGGGAAGUGAGAAUGUUGGCAUGAGUAGCGAAAAGAUAGGUGAGAAUCCUAUCCACCGAAAGCAUAAGGAUUCCUGAGCAACGAUCGUCGACUCAGGGUAAGUCGGGACCUAAUCCGAGGCAUGGAGCGUAGGAGAUGGACAACUGGUUGAUAUUCCAGUACCGGCAGCAAUCGUUUGAACGAUGGAGUGACGCAGGAAGGCAGGUCCGCGCGAGAAUGGUAGAUCGCGUACAAGCGUGCAGGCUGGUGCACAGGCAAAUCCGUGUACUGAGGCUGAGGCGUGAUGUGGAGGGAACUUGUUCCCGAAGGGAUUGAGCCUACGCUGCCGAGAAAAGCUUCUAGUGAGAAAGCUGCCGCCCGUACCGUAAAACCGACACAGGUAUGCGGGGAGAGAAUCCUAAGGUGCGCGGGAGAACCCUCGUUAAGGAACUCGGCAAAAUGUACCCGUAACUUCGGGAUAAGGGUAGCCACAGUGGUGAAGGGACUUGCUCCUGGAGCCUAGUGUGGUCGCAGAGAAGAGGCCCAAGCGACUGUUAACCAGAAACACAGGUGCCUGCGAAAGAGAAAUCUGAUGUAUAGGUGCUGACACCUGCCCAGUGCUGGAAGGUUAAAGAAGGAUGUCCGGGUUCGACCCAAAGCAUUUGACUGAAGCCCCAGUGAACGGCGGCCGUAACUAUAACGGUCCUAAGGUAGCGAAAUUCCUUGUCGGGU
rnacentral:rRNA from 1 species